AUUGAACGCUGGCGGCAGGCCUAACACAUGCAAGUCGAGCGGAUGAAGGGAGCUUGCUCCUGGAUUCAGCGGCGGACGGGGAGUAAUGCCUAGGAAUCUGCCUGGUAGUGGGGGAUAACGUCCGGAAACGGGCGCUAAUACCGCAUACGUCCUGAGGGAGAAAGUGGGGGAUCUUCGGACCUCACGCUAUCAGAUGAGCCUAGGUCGGAUUAGCUAGUUGGUGGGGUAAAGGCCUACCAAGGCGACGAUCCGUAACUGGUCUGAGAGGAUGAUCAGUCACACUGGAACUGAGACACGGUCCAGACUCCUACGGGAGGCAGCAGUGGGGAAUAUUGGACAAUGGGCGAAAGCCUGAUCCAGCCAUGCCGCGUGUGUGAAGAAGGUCUUCGGAUUGUAAAGCACUUUAAGUUGGGAGGAAGGGCAGUAAGUUAAUACCUUGCUGUUUUGACGUUACCAACAGAAUAAGCACCGGCUAACUUCG
rnacentral:rRNA from 1 species